rnacentral:rRNA from 1 species
GAUUGNGAAGGCAGCUUGCUGGACUGUAACUGACGCUGAGGCACGAAAGCGUGGGGAUCAAACAGGAUUAGAUANNNGGUAGNCCACNCNNUAAACGAUGAAUGCUAGCUGUUAGCGAUAUACUGUUAGCGGCACAGAGAAAUCGUUAAGCAUUCCACCUGGGGAGUACGCCGGCAACGGUGAAACUCAAAGGAAUUGACGGGGGCCCGCACAAGCGGAGGAACAUGUGGUUUAAUUCGAUGAUACGCGAGGAACCUUACCUGGGCUUAAAUUGCAGUGGAAUAACGUGGAAACAUGUUAGCCUUCGGGCCGCUGUGAAGGUGCUGCAUGGUUGUCGUCAGCUCGUGCCGUGAGGUGUCGGCUUAAGUGCCAUAACGAGCGCAACCCUCAUCGAUAGUUACUAACAGGUUAAGCUGAGGACUCUAUCGAGACUGCCGACGUAAGUCGUGAGGAAGGUGGGGAUGACGUCAAAUCAGCACGGCCCUUACGUCCAGGGCUACACACGUGUUACAAUGGGGGGUACAAAGGGCAGCUACCUGGCGACAGGAUGCUAAUCUCAAAAACCUCUCUCAGUUCGGAUUGGAGUCUGCAACCCGACUCCAUGAAGCUGGAUUCGCUAGUAAUCGCGCAUCAGCCAUGGCGCGGUGAAUACGUUCCCGGGCCUUGUACACACCGCCCGUCAAGCCAUGGAAGCUGGGGGUACCUGAAGUAUGCAACCGCAAGGAGCGUCCUAGGGUAAAACCGGUAACUGGGGCU